AGGAUGACGACGAUGUAAGAUUCGUGAUUGGUUAUGCCAAAAAAUACGAACCUCACGUACAGCUUGAGGUCAUGGCAUUCAUCCGAGAAUACAUCGAAACAUCUGCUGAUGUCAUUUGGGAGCACUUGGAAAAACAGCUAGGUGAUUCAUUAAAUAUCGACAAAACACAGUCAGAAAGGGGUUCUGCUAUAUGAGACGAAACCAGUACAUCAGUGCAUACCAGUUUUACCUGCUAGAAAUAGCUGGUGAACUCAAUUGAAAUCGAAAAUGUACAACAUUUGCA
rnacentral:sRNA from 1 species